UGGGGAAUAUUGCACAAUGGGCGCAAGCCUGAUGCAGCCAUGCCGCGUGUAUGAAGAAGGCCUUCGGGUUGUAAAGUACUUUCAGUCGGGAGGAAGGUGUCAAGGUUAAUAACCUUGGCAAUUGACGUUACCGACAGAAGAAGCACCGGCUAACUCCGUGCCAGCAGCCGCGGUAAUACGGAGGGUGCAAGCGUUAAUCGGAAUUACUGGGCGUAAAGCGCACGCAGGCGGUCUGUCAAGUCGGAUGUGAAAUCCCCGGGCUCAACCUGGGAACUGCAUUCGAAACUGGCAGGCUAGAGUAUUGUAGAGGGGGGUAGAAUUCCAGGUGUAGCGGUGAAAUGCGUAGAGAGCUGGAGGAAUACCGGUGGCGAAGGCGGCCCCCUGGACAAAGACUGACGCUCAGGUGCGAAAGCGUGGGGAGCAAACAGG
rnacentral:rRNA from 1 species